rnacentral:tRNA from 1 species
GCCCCUGUGGCGGAACGGCAGACGCACGCGGCUCAAACCCGCGCGCCCGAGAGGGCAUGCAGGUUCGACUCCUGCCAGGGGCA